rnacentral:rRNA from 1 species
AAUUGUCAGCUAAGUGGCGCACGGGUGAGUAAUGUAUAGAUAACCUGCCCUUAAGAAAGGAAUAACAGUUGGAAACGACUGCUAAUGCCCUAUAUGCCUUUAAUACAUAAGUAUGCAAGGGAAACGCUUUAGUGCUUAAGGAUGGGUCUGUAUGGUAUCAGCUUGUUGGUGAGGUAAUGGCUCACCAAGGCUAUGACGCCUAACUGGUUUGAGAGGAUGAUCAGUCACACUGGAACUGAGACACGGUCCAGACUCCUACGGGAGGCAGCAGUGGGGAAUAUUGCACAAUGGACGAAAGUCUGAUGCAGCAACGCCGCGUGGAGGAUGACACAUUUCGGUGCGUAAACUCCUUUUAUAUAGGAAGAUAAUGACGGUACUAUAUGAAUAAGCACCGGCUAACUCCGUGCCAGCAGCCGCGGUAAUACGGAGGGUGCAAGCGUUACUCGGAAUCACUGGGCGUAAAGAGCGUGUAGGCGGGUAUAUAAGUCAGAAGUGAAAUCCAAUAGCUCAACUAUUGAACUGCUUUUGAAACUGUAUACCUAGAAUGUGGGAGAGGUAGAUGGAAUUUCUGGUGUAGGGGUAAAAUCCGUAGAGAUCAGAAGGAAUACCGAUUGCGAAGGCGAUCUACUGGAACAUUAUUGACGCUGAGACGCGAAAGCGUGGGGAGCAAACAGGAUUAGAUACCCUGGUAGUCCACGCCCUAAACGAUGUACACUAGUUGUUGUGAGGCUCGACCUUGCAGUAAUGCAGUUAACACAUUAAGUGUACCGCCUGGGGAGUACGGUCGCAAGAUUAAAACU